rnacentral:lncRNA from 1 species
CAGCCUCAAAAGAACUCUCUGAUGUGGAAUUGCCCCUGUCCCCAGUGUCUCAUCACGACAGAAGUGGAACUCUGCUUCCUGUAGGCAGCAUAUUGCUGCCACGGAAUCUUAGGACAGAGAGCUUUGUGGGAACCAUGAAUGGGGAAACGGAGGUUGCAAAGCGCGGAAGGGACAGAGCUCGCCUCAGAUCCCCAGAGCCUCGAUUUCCAGUCAGGAAAUGGGUACAGCCCGGGACUGGAUCUGCUGUUUAUUGUUGUUUGCUUCUUUUGAUCUGGAUUUGGGUUUGGUUUGGUUUGGUUUGGUUUUACAAAGAGAUUUCCCAUUAACUAAGACUGACCUAGAACUCCCAAUAGACCCCAGGCUGGCUGCCCACUCCUGAUCCUACAGCUUCCCCCUCCCCAAAUGCUGGGAUUGCAUGGCUGCACCGCCACCCUUGGCUUAGA